rnacentral:rRNA from 1 species
GAUGAACGCUGGCGGCGUGCCUAAUACAUGCAAGUCGAGCGAACAGACGAGGAGCUUGCUCCUCUGACGUUAGCGGCGGACGUGUGAGUAACACGUGGAUAACCUACCUAUAAGACUGGGAUAACUUCGGGAAACCGGAGCUAAUACCGGAUAAUAUAUUGAACCGCAUGGUUCAAUAGUGAAAGACGGUUUUGCUGUCACUUAUAGAUGGAUCCGCGCCGCAUUAGCUAGUUGGUAAGGUAACGGCUUACCAAGGCAACGAUGCGUAGCCGACCUGAGAGGGCGAUCGGCCACACUGGAACUGAGACACGGUCCAGACUCCUACGGGAGGCAGCAGUAGGGAAUCUUCCGCAAUGGGCGAAAGCCUGACGGAGCAACGCCGCGUGAGUGAUGAAGGUCUUCGGAUCGUAAAACUCUGUUAUUAGGGAAGAACAAAUGUGUAAGUAACUAUGCACGUCUUGACGGUACCUAAUCAGAAAGCCACGGCUAACUACGUG